GAUAAUCUGUAAAUUGAUAAUCAAUAGGUAUUUUUAAUCAUUAAAUAAAAUAAAGUAAUCGGAUUGCAGGCAGCCUGUAUAAUUUUCCAAAACAAUCUACAUGUAAUGAAUAUCCGUCAAAAGUUCUUGGAGAACAUCAUUAAACGAAAGAAACGGAGGAAUAAAACCUAGAAUCUCGUAGACGAAAUCUACCAUACAGCUGUGUGUUAAAAUAAACUGUUGCCUAACACCUAACGAAAAACUCGAGAACAUAAACCCAAAAUAAUCCCUUACCUCCGCUUUUAUAUUCUCCAAAGAAAAUAAGGUAUGUCUCCGGUGAUGUUGUUCUUCCACUUCGCCCAUGACGGAAUCAUUUGGAAUGGGUAAUCGGCAACAUGAUUUACAAAUCAUACAGGUUUUGAGAUAUACGAGAUUGCCUGGUGGAGUUGAUAUAUGAGACUGCCUGGUGGAGUUGAUAUACGAGACUGCUUGGUGGAGUUGAUAUACGAGACUUCAUGGUACAAGACCAACGAAGAAUUUCGAAAUUAG
rnacentral:lncRNA from 1 species